GAACGCUAGCGGCAGGCCUAAUACAUGCAAGUCGAACGGUUGUAGUGAUACAAUAGUGGCGCACGGGUGCGUAACACGUAUGCAACCUACCUUAUAGACGGGGAUAGCCUUUGGAAACGGAGAUUAAUACCCGAUAGUAACCUUGAUUGGCAUCAAUUAAUGUUUAAAGAUUUAUCGCUAUAAGCUGGGCAUGCGUCCAAUUAGUUAGUUGGUUAGGUAAUGGCUGACCAAGACGAUGAUUGGUAGGGGAACUGAGAGGUUAAUCCCCCACACUGGCACUGAGAUACGGGCCAGACUCCUACGGGAGGCAGCAGUAGGGAAUAUUGGGCAAUGGAGGCAACUCUGACCCAGCCAUGCCGCGUGCAGGAUGAAGGC
rnacentral:rRNA from 1 species